CCCACACCCAUGUGUGUAGGACCCCAAAAGAUCACCAUUAAAUUUGGCACAGAUCUCUAGAAAAAUUAUCACAUGGGUGUAGAACUUGACUUUUCUAGAGAUAUGUGCCAAAUUUAAUAGUGAUUCUUUGAGGUCCUACACACAUGAGUGUGGA
rnacentral:pre_miRNA from 1 species